UCCCUGGAAGUCUAGUGGUUAAGACUCUGUGCUUUCACUGAAGGGGCACAGGUUUGAUCCCUGGUCAGGGAA
rnacentral:tRNA from 1 species